GACGAACGCUGGCGGCGUGCUUAACACAUGCAAGUCGAACGGAAAGGCCUGGUUUUUGUGGGAUGUUCGAGUGCCGAAAGGGGGAGAAUAACGCGAGUAACCUCCCCUUUAUUUCGGGUUACCUCCUGUAAACUGGGGUGAUAAUCGGUCAGAACCCCUUUCUGCAUGGGGGGGGUGGUAAAGUUUCGCAGGUGGGGGAUGGACUGGCGGUUCAUCAGCUUGUUGGUGGGGUGUUGGCUUACAAAGGCUUUGAGGGGUAGCCGGCCUGAGAGGGUGACCGGCCACAUUGGGACUGAGAUACGGCCCAGAGUCCUACGGGAGGCAGCAGUGGGAGAUAUUGCGCAAUGGGCGGAAGCCUGAUGCAGCAACGCCGCGUGCGGGAUGACGGCCUUCGGGUUGUAAACCGCUUUCGCCUGUGACGAAGCGUGAGUGACGGUAAUGGGUAAAGAAGCACCGGCUAACUACGUG
rnacentral:rRNA from 1 species